rnacentral:rRNA from 1 species
CAGCUCAAAUUUGAAAUCUGGCUCCUUUGGGGUCCGAGUUGUAAUUUGUAGAGGGUGUUUCGGGCGCGAUGCCGGUCUAAGUUCCUUGGAACAGGACGUCGUAGAGGGUGAGAAUCCCGUAUGCGACCGGCGAUCAAGCCCGUGCGAAGCCCCUUCGACGAGUCGAGUUGUUUGGGAAUGCAGCUCAAAAUGGGUGGUAAAUUUCAUCUAAAGCUAAAUACUGGCCAGAGACCGAUAGCGGACAAGUAGAGUGAUCGAAAGAUGAAAAGCACUUUGGAAAGAGAGUCAAACAGUACGUGAAAUUGUUGAAAGGGAAGCGCUUGCAAUCAGACCGGUCCGGAGGCGAUCAGCCGCUGCUCGUCAGCGGUGCACUCGCCUGCGAUCCGGCCAGCAUCGGUUUGGGCGGCGGGAUAAAAGUCCCGGGAAUGUAGCUUCCUCCGGGGAGUCUUAUAGCCCGGGUCGCAAUGCCGCCCGCCCGGACCGAGGACCGCGCUUCGGCUAGGAUGCUGGCGUAAUGGUUGCAAGCG